GAUGAACGCUGGCGGUAUGCUUAACACAUGCAAGUCGAACGGACUCUUCGGAUUUAGUGGCGGAUGGGUGAGUAACGCGUGAGAAUCUGGCUUUGGGUUCGGGACAACCACUGGAAACGGUGGCUAAUACCGGAUGUGCCGAGAGGUAAAAGAGAAAUUGCCUGAAGAUGAGCUCGCGUCUGAUUAGCUAGUUGGUGAGGUAAAGGCUCACCAAGGCAGCGAUCAGUAGCUGGUCUGAGAGGAUGACCAGCCACACUGGGACUGAGACACGGCCCAGACUACUACGGGAGGCAGCAGGGGGGAAUGCUCAGCAAGGGGCGAAAGCCUGACGGAGCAAUACCGCGUGAGGGAAGAAGGCUCUUGGGUUGUAAACCUCUUUUCGUAGGGAAGAACAAAAUGACGGUACCUAAGGAAUCAGCAUCGGCUAACUACGUG
rnacentral:rRNA from 1 species